GUGCCAGCCGCCGCGGUAAGACGAACCGUGCAAACGUUGUUCGGAAUCACUGGGCUUAAAGGGCGCGUAGGCGGGCAAGCAAGUCCGGGGUGAAAUCUUUCGGCUUAACCGGAAAAGUGCCUUGGAUACUGCUUGUCUUGAGGGAGGUAGGGGCAUGCGGAACUUCUGGUGGAGCGGUGAAAUGCGUUGAUAUCAGAAGGAACGCCGGUGGCGAAAGCGGCGUGCUGGACCUCUUCUGACGCUGAUGCGCGAAAGCUAGGGGAGCAAACGGGAUUAGAUACCCCAGUAGUCC
rnacentral:rRNA from 1 species